UAGAGAGCAGCAAUGUCUUCAAGUCUUUCGGAUAUUAGUUUUGCUCGCCUUUCAUAUGCGACCUCUAUUACACAUAUAUGUACUACUUACUUAUGUAGACGUGGCGCUAUAGAGUAUAGGUUAAAUGUUUAUAGUUUAUGGUGGAUUGACAGUGUUUUGCAAUUUGUAGUUUAGUUAUCUUUGGAUGGCAGUAUUUUUAAGUUGCGUAGUGCCAAAGUCACUACAAAUAUGAGUGGUGCAUCACGAAAAGUGAAAAAUCCAUUAUUAUCAGCAGCUGGUGAAGGUUUCCCGUUUGAAAAUUACACUGAAAAUGCAUUUUUGGUUCCUGUUACGCCUGCAACACCUGCGAUGCUUCGCGAUGACGCUGAAUCGAACAACUUCGUAGAACAGGAGCCGGCCAAUUUGCACAAUUCAGAAACUUUAGCGACUGUACCCGAUACGGAUAGCGAAUUCACGCCGAUACCCUUGCAUUCCGAGGAGAACAGGAAUCCAACAACGAGCCAGCCAACGAAGCAGAGUUACCUGACUUCGAUCCUUUCCUCUUUGCCGAAUUUAUCUUUGUCGUCGAUCACAGGCGACGGGUCUUCCGGGUCUCAGCCGAGUCAAGGAGCGGAGAACGUAGCCGGUGUACAAAAUACGAAGCCUCAUGUGCCUUUGCACGACCGUCGUGACUCGUUCAGGGACACAUCACCGUCUGUAAUCGCCAAUUUUCACGAUUCUCGACGCGCAAAUUUUACGGGAUUCGCCGAGGUUAAUCCCGGAAGUGGUGGAAGCUUGCUGCCAGCCCCGCCUCAGUCGACGGUGCCGCCUACGCUUCCUUCGACGACGAACGGCCCCAUAUCGUACCGUUUGGGCAAUCAAAGACGCCUCAAGUACGCGCCACCGCCCGAUUUAACGUCGAACACAUCCAAACAGUAUUCCGCCCCCGUGACUCAACCCCUUCUCACACCCCAUAACCCGGUCCCAACACCGAAUAUAUUUAAUCCAAACGAGCCCGUUGGAACGAAUCCAACUUGCCAACCCGUCGAAACAUCGAUUUCCACGAAUUCACCCUCUCUACAACGCUCCACGCCCGAACACUUGUCCCAGGCCAACUCUUUGCAAGAGUCGUUUAGAUCUAGUCCCGUGGCGAUAGCUGGAGUCGCUCACAACUCGACAGGUACGUCGAGAAGCGUCACGCCUCAGAGUCAAAAUUCGAAUUUAGCUGUCCCGGCCACCUCGUCGGCCCAACCGAUUCCAGAACCACCGACCACGCCGCAGAACACUCCUGCAAACGUUAAUUAUUUCGGCUACGAUACUUACGGGGCCUUACAACCAGACUUCCCCUCGAGGACGGAGAAAGGAGCAGCGUCGGGGAGGAGUCGGGUAGAGGCGGCAUUGCCGAUUUCGAAAGAGGGCGUUGAGGCGAAACCUGGCGUAACCUUUGCCCCAGUGUCUGCGGUUCAAGUUACGGAAAAGUUGGAACACUUGCUCGCCGAGCGUGAACAAGACCCGUCUACUCUUCCCGGGGAAAGAUCAACAAAAAUCGAGGAUGCGACGGAGUGUCGGCCUAUCGCAAAUUAUGACGAUGUAAAAUUGGUCGAGGAACGGAACGAUUUAUCGAGGCCCGACGUAUCGAGCGACGUGUUUUUAGAAAGGAAGGAGGGCUCGGAGAUAACGCAUUCAACGAUAACUUGUCAAGAAGCGAGCGCACAACAACAAGGAAAGUUCGAUGGAACGCGGAGUCAUGGUGUAUCGUCGAACGUGCAAUCCGUGCAACAAUAUUAUCAACCGCAACUUUUCGCAUCGAGUGCCGGCUUUUUUGCGGGAGAGCGUCGGAGAUCGAAUCUGACUUACAUUCCCGAAGCCUCCACCAAUUACAUCGAUCCAUCGAAGAUCGUCGUCCAACCAGCGAGCUCGUUCUUCGACAAGCCAGAGAGCAACGCCUCGUUCCCUGUUUUCCAGUACAAAGAAAAUACCAAUGCCCCAUUAAUAGACGCGGCUACUUUGUCGAGAAAUAACGAUUCGCAACAACAAGUGCCAGCAGCGUGUAGCCCGAUCGAGCCCACAUUCGCCAAUCCUCAAGCAUCUCGAUCCCCGUGGGAUACGAAUCAGAUCUCUGAGACCGGGAUUACGACGUAUAACGCGGCUGCUCGAUCACCCCAACAACCUUUGUUCUACAAUCCCGCUCAAUUCCAAGACGAACUGCCGAAACAAAUACCGACGUACACGCCGCCACCAGUGACGAGUCAACAUUAUUUCGAUAAUUUUACCGCGCAAACGUGCGAUAUAACGAGCGGGAUUGGGAUUGAAUUUCCAACCGCGCCUUCUAUGACCGUACUCGAGCCAACUGGUUCGGCUACGUUAAAUCCUGUCCAGAUGUCAAUUAAUCCGUUGGGUGGACGAGCAGUUACGGACGGUGUGCCUCCAAGUUUUCAGAAUUUGGCCGCUGGCUCUUCGGAUAAACGGAUGCAGUACAGAAGAGUGUAUCACCAUUGGUUUUAUCGCAAAAAAGUGGAGCACAAAGUGUUAUGGGUUCCGUUCUCUAUGCAAGACAGUUUACGCCUAGAAGGGGUUCAUAAUUCCACAGAAAUUACCCCUGAAACGACAGUCGCCACCGAUGGAGGUCGUUACGACGUUGACAUUUUACGACGUCAGAGAUCACCCGUUUAUUGGAGCGGAGAAUCGACGGAAGUGAGGCGAUGCUCGUGGUUCUUCAAAGGACCCACUGAAUCGAGAUACGUUCCUUACGACGAGAACACCGCUUGUAAACUCGAGGAAGAGUAUAAACAAGCGUGUCUGCUCAACAAUUGGAAUCGAAGGAUCGAUCUGAACAAUGGGGAAUACAUUAUCUUCCACAGUGCCUCCGUUCAGGUCCACUACUUGACGGCUGCUUCACCGGAAUUGGCUGCGUCAUGGGGAAAUAGUGCGGGCUCAGAGGACAGUACAUAUUUACAGGGUGCUGGUAGUAGGCCUAGGGUGAUAAAAAGAGGUCUUGACGAGUUCCACAUCGAGGAUGGCGAGCCCGAAAAAGUAGAUCAUGUUCUGUUCCUCGUCCACGGCAUUGGUAGCGUCUGUGAUUUGAAAUUUCGAACUGUGGAAGAAGUCGUUGACGAAUUUCGAAGUAUUUCAUUGCAAUUGGUACAAUCUCAUUAUCGAACCGCUAGUGAGCAGAGAAUUGUAAAUAGGAUAGAAGUUUUGCCAAUCUCGUGGCAUACAACGCUCCAUUCCGACACUGGAAUCGAUAAGAAACUACAAGCUAUCACCUUGGAUAGUAUAUCGAAAUUACGACACUUCACCAACGACACGUUGCUCGACAUACUUUUUUAUACCAGUCCUGUAUAUUGUCAAACUAUUAUUACAACGGUUGGAAAUGAACUGAACAGGCUAUAUGCUCUUUUCAAGAAACGAAAUCCAGAUUUCGACGGUGGAAUUUAUCUUGGCGGCCAUUCUUUGGGUAGUUUAAUUUUGUUUGAUCUUCUGUGUCAUCAGAAACCAUUGUCGGAUGAUAAAUCGAAUGAAAAUGAUAGCGAAUCUAACGAGGAACAGAAACAAGAGGAUGUCGACUCUUCUCAAUUACCCAAUAGUGUCUUAAAACGACGUCUCAGUAAAAAAAUAAGCUACGUAGUAGGCGCUGCUGGGACUGGUCAGCCUUACAUACAUUACACGCAAUUACAUUUUCACCCACGUGCCUUUUUCGCUUUCGGUAGCCCGAUUGGUAUGUUCGUGACAGUUCGAGGCAUCGAUAUGCUCGGAGAAGACUUUGCAUUGCCAACGUGCCCUGCUUUUUUCAAUAUCUUCCACCCCUUUGAUCCUGUAGCUUACAGGAUCGAGGCGCUCAUUAACCCAGAUGCUCCUAAAUAUCGACCAAUGUUGAUCCCUCAUCACAAAGGACGGAAAAGAAUGCAUUUAGAAUUAAAAGAACAAUGGCACGUGUCGGUGCGGAUCUGAAACAGAAGUUACUCGAUUCCGUGAGAAAUACAUGGAACUCUGUUUAUCAAUUGGCGCUGUUUCACAAACCGGAUAACGGUACGCUCGAGCGUGAAAUUGAUAAAGUUAUGGAAGAACAAUUGCAUCAAACCGUUCCGGAACGUCAAACUAGCGACGACGGCGGUGUUGAACUUAAAGUGGGCAAAUUGAAUAAUGGACGAAGAAUAGAUUACGUUCUUCAGGAAGCUCCGUUCGAAUACAUUAACGAGUAUAUUUUUGCUUUGACGAGUCACGUUUGUUAUUGGGAGUCCGAGGACACCAUGCUGUUGAUUUUAAAGGAAAUAUAUGGCUCGACUGGUAUUCAAACAGAUGCUCAACUUCCAACGUUAUCGUUGCAAGUGUGUCCCACGCCAAAUUCUUCUACAGUGUAUGAGACAGAUGAACUAUUACAUAAUCCUGUUAUAGGAAUAGAUCCUACCGCACCUAUAUCCGAGAAACUUGUUGGUCCACCGCCUAAAAGCGGAUUUGUUAAGAAAUCAUGAUCGAAAUGGAAUCGUUUUAACUUCCUUGAAAAGUUUCACGACAAUGAAGGACAAGAUAUUGUUAAGAAUCAUAUAAUCGCUGCCGAUCAGGUUGAUGCGGGCAUUGUACCUGAUGUUAACGCGAGUUACAAAUUUUAAUUAUUGAAAAACAAAUUUUCUUGUUUUCUGUAAGAGUUGCAUCCGAGGUGUUAUCGAAUCUAUCGUAACAUUCUAAACUAUUACCCAAGUGGAUUGUUUCUUCGUUUCUUCUCAAAUUCACCAUUUAGAUACGUCGGCCUACGCAACAACGUUCAAGCACUGAAAAAGUAAUUAAAAAUAUUAUUUAAUAAGAAGAAAAAAAUAAUAAUUAAAAUAAAUUGUAACGAUUUAAUCCUUAGAUGUGAUAUAAAAAUUAAUACAAAGUCGAGCUAUUGAUAUUCGCAAUAUCGUCAUUUCGGCAAGUUAAAAAACGUUAUAACAUUCAUUAAAAAUCUAGGGACAUUGAUAUUGGACAGGCGAACGAAAGUGAGACUUUGUAAUACAAAAAA
rnacentral:misc_RNA from 1 species